rnacentral:rRNA from 1 species
GCAUGAUUAAAGGUAUUUUCCGGUAGACGAUGGGGAUGCGUUCCAUUAGAUAGUAGGCGGGGUAACGGCCCACCUAGUCAACGAUGGAUAGGGGUUCUGAGAGGAAGGUCCCCCACAUUGGAACUGAGACACGGUCCAAACUCCUACGGGAGGCAGCAGUGAGGAAUAUUGGUCAAUGGGCGAUGGCCUGAACCAGCCAAGUAGCGUGAAGGAUGACUGCCCUAUGGGUUGUAAACUUCUUUUAUAAAGGAAUAAAGUCGGGUAUGCAUACCCGUUUGCAUGUACUUUAUGAAUAAGGAUCGGCUAACUCCGUGCCAGCAGCCGCGGUAAUACGGAGGAUCCGAGCGUUAUCCGGAUUUAUUGGGUUUAAAGGGAGCGUAGAUGGAUGUUUAAGUCAGUUGUGAAAGUUUGCGGCUCAACCGUAAAAUUGCAGUUGAUACUGGAUGUCUUGAGUGCAGUUGAGGCAGGCGGAAUUCGUGGUGUAGCGGUGAAAUGCUUAGAUAUCACGAAGAACUCCGAUUGCGAAGGCAGCCUGCUAAGCUGCAACUGACAUUGAGGCUCGAAAGUGUGGGUAUCAAACAGGAUUAGAUACCCUGGUAGUCCACACGGUAAACGAUGAAUACUCGCUGUUUGCGAUAUACGGCAAGCGGCCAAGCGAAAGCGUUAAGUAUUC